AUGGCUUCCAUUUAUGGGACAACUGGGGUUAAGGGGCUGAAUGCUAGGUCUAACAAUGAUCUUGUUUCUAUUGGUCACAAAGAUGAGGAGAAUGGUGAGGUGAACACGUCACCAAAUGUUGUCGAGUCUUCUCACCCCAAAGCACCACCCAAAAGGAAGGCCAAGGUAUAGCACAUUGUUGAUGAUCUACUAGUUAUCACUCUCAAAGAUGGGUUCAAACUUGUGGCUGAAGAACUUGUGAAGUCUAGUGGAGAUGAUGAUGAUAUACCCGAUGUCCUUUGGGACAAAGUCUCCACAUUGCCAGAUUUUGAUGAAGAGCACCUAACCCACUACUAUGCUCAUCUUGUGGACAACCCCAAGACUACAAGAGCCUUCAUGAAACUUUCCCAAACCAACAAGGUUGUUUGGGUGAGUAGGUAUGUGAAGAAGAACUUCUAA
rnacentral:rRNA from 1 species